rnacentral:rRNA from 1 species
UAGGGAAUCUUCGGCAAUGGACGAAAGUCUGACCGAGCAACGCCGCGUGAGUGAAGAAGGUUUUCGGAUCGUAAAACUCUGUUGUUAGAGAAGAACAAGGACGUUAGUAACUGAACGUCCCCUGACGGUAUCUAACCAGAAAGCCACGGCUAACUACGUGCCAGCAGCCGCGGUAAUACGUAGGUGGCAAGCGUUGUCCGGAUUUAUUGGGCGUACAGCGAGCGCAGGCGGUUUCUUAAGUCUGAUGUGAAAGCCCCCGGCUCAACCGGGGAGGGUCAUUGGAAACUGAGAGACUUGAGUGAAGAAGAGGAGAGUGGAAUUCCAUGUGUAGCGGUGAAAUGCGUAGAUAUAUGGAGGAACACCAGUGGCGAAGGCGGCUCUCUGGUCUGUAACUGACGCUGAGGCUCGAAAGCGUGGGGAGCAAACAGG